rnacentral:rRNA from 1 species
AUGGCUCAGAACGAACGCUGGCGGCAGGCCUAACACAUGCAAGUCGAACGCCCCGCAAGGGGAGUGGCAGACGGGUGAGUAACGCGUGGGAAUCUACCUUGUGGUACGGAACAACCAAGGGAAACUUUGGCUAAUACCGUAUGAGCCCUUCGGGGGAAAGAUUUAUCGCCAUAAGAUGAGCCCGCGUAGGAUUAGCUAGUUGGUGAGGUAAUGGCUCACCAAGGCGACGAUCCUUAGCUGGUCUGAGAGGAUGACCAGCCACACUGGGACUGAGACACGGCCCAGACUCCUACGGGAGGCAGCAGUGGGGAAUAUUGGACAAUGGGCGCAAGCCUGAUCCAGCCAUGCCGCGUGUGUGAUGAAGGCCUUAGGGUUGUAAAGCACUUUCGCCGAUGAAGAUAAUGACUGUAGUCGGAGAAGAAGCCCCGGCUAACUUCGUGCCAGCAGCCGCGGUAAUACGAAGGGGGCUAGCGUUGUUCGGAAUUACUGGGCGUAAAGCGUACGUAGGCGGAUCGUUAAGUUAGGGGUGAAAUCCCGAGGCUCAACCUCGGAACUGCCUCUGAUACUGGCGAUCUUGAGUCCGGGAGAGGUGAGUGGAACUCCUAGUGUAGAGGUGAAAUUCGUAGAUAUUAGGAAGAACACCAGUGGCGAAGGCGGCUCACU